CGCGUAGGCGGAUAGUUUAGUCAGAGGUGAAAGCCCAGGGCUCAACCUUGGAACUGCCUUUGAUACUGGCUAUCUUGAGUUCGGGAGAGGUGAGUGGAAUGCCGAGUGUAGAGGUGAAAUUCGUAGAUAUUCGGCGGAACACCAGUGGCGAAGGCGACUCACUGGCCCGAUACUGACGCUGAGGCGCGAAAGCGUGGGGAGCAAACA
rnacentral:rRNA from 1 species